rnacentral:rRNA from 1 species
ACGGGGUGCAGCAGGCGCGAAAACUCCACAAUGCGCGAAAGCGUGAUGGGGUUACCCCGAGUGCCGUCCGUUGAGGAUAGCUUUUCACUAGUGCAAGGAGCUAGUGGAAUAAAGGGGGGGCAAGUCUGGUGUCAGCCGCCGCGGUAAUACCAGCCCCCUGAGUGAUAGGGACGAUUAUUUAGCCUAAAGCGUCCGUAGCCGGCUUUGUAAGUCUUUCGUUAAAUCUGACGACUUAAUCGCCAGACCGCGGAAGAUACUGCUAGGCUAGAGGGUGGGAGAGGUUGACGGUAGUCCUGGGGUAGGGGUGAAAUCCUAUAAUCCCAGGAGGACCACCAGUGGCGAAGGCGGUCAACCAGAACAUGCCUGACGGUGAGGGACGAAAGCUGGGGGAGCGAACCGGAUUAGACACCCGGGUAGUCCCAGCUGUAAACGAUGCGGGCUAGGUGUUGGUGCAGCUACGUGCUGUUCCAGUGCCGCAGAGAAGUUGUUAAGCCCGCCGCUUGGGAAGUACGGCCGCAAGGCUGAAACUUAAAGGAAUUGGCGGGGGAGCAC